UACGUAGGGGGCAAGCGUUAUCCGGAAUUACUGGGUGUAAAGGGUGCGUAGGUAGUAUGGCAAGUCAGAAGUGAAAACCCAGGGCUUAACUCUGGGACUGCUUUUGAAACUGUCAGACUGGAGUGCAGGAGAGGUAAGCGGAAUUCCUAGUGUAGCGGUGAAAUGCGUAGAUAUUAGGAGGAACAUCAGUGGCGAAGGCGGCUUACUGGACUGAAACUGACACUGAGGCACGAAAGCGUGGGGAGCAAACAGG
rnacentral:rRNA from 1 species